AUCUCUAGAAAAUUAAAAAUUUCUGCAAGUGAUAUUGUUUUAAAAAAAUCAUCUUUAUAUAGUUUUAUAAUUACACCACAAAGGGGAAAAAUUAAUAUUAUAGACAACUUAAUGUUUAAAGCAAUUAUAAAGAGUGAAUGGUAUCAAACAAUAUAAAAUCAUUCUUCACUCAAUGAUUUUUGAAGAACAUUAAUUUAGAUGUUAUUCAUGCUUACUCUUGUAUCUGAUUUUUGCAAAAAUAAUUUAUUUUAAAAGAUGUUAUCAUUGAUUAUAUCCUUUUCUUUUGAAACUCAAGGGUUUUGUC
rnacentral:lncRNA from 1 species